GAUGAACGCUGGCGGCGUGCCUAAUACAUGCAAGUCGAGCGAACAGAUAAGGAGCUUGCUCCUUUGACGUUAGCGGCGGACGGGUGAGUAACACGUGGAUAACCUACCUAUAAGACUGGGAUAACUUCGGGAAACCGGAGCUAAUACCGGAUAACAUAUUGAACCGCAUGGUUCAAUAGUGAAAGGCGGCUUUGCUGUCACUUAUAGAUGGAUCCGCGCCGUAUUAGCUAGUUGGUAAGGUAACGGCUUACCAAGGCAACGAUACGUAGCCGACCUGAGAGGAUGAUCGGCCACACUGGAACUGAGACACGGUCCAGACUCCUACGGGAGGCAGCAGUAGGGAAUCUUCGGCAAUGGGCGAAAGCCUGACGGAGCAACGCCGCGUGAGUGAUGAAGGUCUUCGGAUCGUAAAGCUCUGUUAUCGGGGAAGAACAAAUGUGUAUGUAACUGUGCACAUCUUGACGGUACCUGAUCAGAAAGCCACGGCUAACUUCGUG
rnacentral:rRNA from 1 species